GUCAACUUUAAAAUUUUCAAAGAUAUCGGCGAUGCACCCGGUCGACCGGCGGUCAACCACCAACAACUCACGGCAGACCGCGAGUGAACACCUGUGGCUGACCUGACGAUUGGCAAGGGAGGAAAACGAGGAGGAACAGGAAACUUUGCAUACGGGUGAUGAGCCUGAUGGUGAGAAAGGUGCACCGUCUUGCUUCUCUAUCUCCACACUUUCUUCAUGACGUACUGAUUUUAUUGGUGGGGAAGGUAUGUUACUUUGUUUCUUUUUGUGUAUAUCUCCAUGAUCAAUAGAAUUAUCAACAAGUUUUA